rnacentral:rRNA from 1 species
AGAGUUUGAUCCUGGUUCAGAUUGAACGCUGGCGGCAUGCCUUACACAUGCAAGUCGAACGGCAGCACGGGAGCAAUCCUGGUGGCGAGUGGCGAACGGGUGAGUAAUAUAUCGGAACGUGCCCAAUCGUGGGGGAUAACGCAGCGAAAGCUGUGCUAAUACCGCAUACGAUCUACGGAUGAAAGCGGGGGACUCAGCAAUGGGCCUCGCGCGAAUGGAGCGGCCGAUAUCAGAUUAGCUAGUUGGUGGGGUAAAGGCUCACCAAGGCGACGAUCUGUAGCUGGUCUGAGAGGACGACCAGCCACACUGGAACUGAGACACGGUCCAGACUCCUACGGGAGGCAGCAGUGGGGAAUUUUGGACAAUGGGCGCAAGCCUGAUCCAGCAAUGCCGCGUGCAGGAUGAAGGCCUUCGGGUUGUAAACUGCUUUUGUACGGAACGAAAAGAUUCCUUCUAAUAAAGGGGGUUCAUGACGGUACCGUAAGAAUAAGCACCGGCUAACUACGUGCCAGCAGCCGCGGUAAUAC